rnacentral:tRNA from 1 species
GCUCCUAUCGUUUAACUUGGUUAAGACAAUGUUUUUUCGUGACGUUAAUGUGAGUUCAAAUCUCACUAGGAGUA